rnacentral:rRNA from 1 species
GCCCGCAAGGGUGACGGCGUACCUUUUGUAUAAUGGGUCAGCGACUUAAAGUAACGAGCAAGCUUAAGCCGAUAGGCGUAGGCGCAGCGAAAGCGAGUCUGAACAGGGCGUUCAGUUCGUUGCUUUUAGACCCGAAACCGAGUGAUCUAGCCAUGAGCAGGUUGAAGGUAGGGUAACACCUACUGGAGGACCGAACCGGUGCCUGUUGAAAAAGUCUCGGAUGACUUGUGGUUAGGGGUGAAAGGCCAACCAAACUCGGAAAUAGCUGGUUCUCCGCGAAAUAUAUUUAGGUAUAGCCUCGCGUGUAUUCUCCAGGGGGUAGAGCACUGGAUGGGCUAGGGGGUCCCACAGACUUACCAAACCUAACCAAACUCCGAAUACCUGGAAGAACUGCGCGGGAGCCACACGGCGGGUGCUAACGUCCGUCGU